UAUCUAGCUGAUAGCAUCCAAACAUCAAAAACAAUAUUGCUUUUUGAUCAUUGGAUUUAGGCUCCUAGCAUUAUAAAACAAAAUUCACCGAGUGCUAUGUUGUUCACCUGCCAAUAAGGACAGGAGCUAGGUUUAGACUAUCGAUAAAAACAAUU
rnacentral:ncRNA from 1 species